AUAUUUUGAUUCCGGUUUUAGCCUUAUAGACAGCUUUCAUUCAACCAACUUGAUUAGAGUUGUGUCAGUAUUUGCAGCAUAGGGCCUAGUGUCUGCAGCAUAGGUUCUAGACUCUAGCUAUUUUUUUUUCAAAUCCUAGAUUCUAUCUCUCUCGUUUAUCUUCUUCUCUCUUCUUUUAUUCACUUCCUGUUUUUUUUUCUCUUCUUCUCUCUUCUAUCUUCUCUUAUAUAUUUUUUAUUCUCAAUUUCUAAUUUGGUUUAUGAGAGGAAGAUUCGAAAAAGAAAAAUGAACCAGCGAAAUGUCUUUUACCAAGUUACAUUUGAAUUAGUUUUGGUUGUUCUAUUGAAUUAUUUAAUUUGUUUGAUUGUUAUGCUUAAAGAGAUUUGCUUGCUAGUGUAGGUGAAAGUUGUGUUGAAUCUAAAGCUCAAUCAAAACAGAUUUUUGGUUGGUACAGGGGUACAAACUUCCAGGUGGUUGAAUGAAGAGGAAGAUGGAUUGGUCACUAACAUGGGACGAAUAGGUGGAACUGGCUCACGACUCACGAAUUAAUUUUAUUUGUUUAAUGUUAACGAACAAACUUAGAUGUUAUUGCUAAAGAUUUAAUUAGCUGUUAUUAUUUGUUGUAGUGACCGUUAAAUGUAUGUGUCUAAUUAACAAACGAACUUAGCCGUUAGUUUAUAGUAUAUAUAAGUAUGAGAAAUUUAAGUCUGUCAAA